rnacentral:rRNA from 1 species
UACGGGGGGGGGCAAGCGUUGUUCGGAAUUACUGGGCGUAAAGGGCUCGUAGGUGGCCAACUAAGUCAGACGUGAAAUCCCUCGGCUUAACCGAGGAACUGCGUCUGAUACUGGAUGGCUUGAGUUUGGGAGAGGAAUGCGGAAUUCCAGGUGUAGCGGUGAAAUGCGUAGAUAUCUGGAGGAACACCGGUGGCGAAGGCGGCAUUCUGGACCAAUACUGACGCUGAGGAGCGAAAGCCGGGGAGCAAACGGG